GACGAACGCUGGCGGCGCGCCUAACACAUGCAAGUCGAACGAGCGAGAGAGAGCUUGCUUUCUCGAGCGAGUGGCGAACGGGUGAGUAACGCGUGAGGAACCUGCCUCAAAGAGGAGGACAACAGUUGGAAACGACUGCUAAUACCGCAUAAGCCCACGGCUCGGCAUCGAGCAGGGGGAAAAGGAGCAAUCCGCUUUGAGAUGGCCUCGCGUCCGAUUAGCUAGUUGGUGGGGUAACGGCCCACCAAGGCGACGAUCGGUAGCCGGACUGAGAGGUUGAACGGCCACAUUGGGACUGAGACACGGCCCAGACUCCUACGGGAGGCAGCAGUGGGGAAUAUUGCACAAUGGGGGAAACCCUGAUGCAGCGACGCCGCGUGGAGGAAGAAGGUCUUCGGAUUGUAAACUCCUGUUGUUGGGGAAGAUAAUGACGGUACCCAACAAGGAAGUGACGGCUAACUACGUG
rnacentral:rRNA from 1 species